GAAAGGCCAGUGUGUUGAUUCAGUCCCAUUUAUUUCAGGCAGGGCACCCGAAGGCCACUUGCUGUCAGAGCUGGUUGGAGUGGGGAUUUCACAUUAAAGGAGGUCAAGGUGGUACUUGAGGAAAAGAGUGUGUGGCAUGUUUGAAGGUGGCUGAGGAUUUGAUAAACUCCUUCACAGAGCUCCAAAAUAAAGGGAAUCAAAGUGGAGAAACCAGGACUAAAAACCUAUUGAAUUUCACAUGAAGUGACUGAAUCACUGUGCAUAUGGAGCCAGCAAGGUAUGAGAGUACUAGUUGCUCUGUAUCCUCAACCAAUGCUUGGAACUGUCUUUUUAGACAUUGUUUUUCUAGUGAGUGUGUAGUGGUAUUGCAUUGUGGCUGG